AUGGCGUAUCAUUUUAUCGAUUUCUUCAACGACGGGAGGAUUGCGAGGGAAAGGGCGGGCUCACAUAUGUUCCUGCGCAUGUACCUGUUCAGUUGUGUUUCAACUGAGUGUUGGUUCGUAAUCUGUCAGAUUGGGAAGCCUCAAACAUCUGAAGAAAAGAUUAUUCGAUGCAGAGGAUCGAUGAAGGGUGGUGAGGAGGCUUUGAUGAGCGAUUACCCUAUUGGUAUCGAUAUGACAGGGGUGUCGACUUGGUUUGGCUCUUUUUGGUGUCAACUCAGACUCGGAAGUCUCUCUGAUUUCUUUAGGGAGUAGUGAAAAUAGGGGUAACCGUAUGUAAUAAUUUCCCCUUGUAAUUAUGUUCAGAACUAUUAUUUCUUCAAAAAACUACAGACAGACUGUCUCCCGUAAAUCAGCCUUGUUCGAUCGUUUGUAAUAACAGGAAGUAAUACACUUAAGUAAAUUGAAUUCUCACCAUAACGAACAUAUCAACUGACACCACCGACAUAUGCCAAGCUGUCAUUGUCAAUGGCCUUUGAUUCAGGGUGAUCAACACAGAUUUCAUUCCUCUACGAUUUCCAUACCAAUUCGAU